rnacentral:rRNA from 1 species
UACGAAGGAUUCGAGCGUUAUCCGGAUUUAUUGGGUUUAAAGGGUGCGUAGGUGGAUUAAUAAGUCAGUGGUGAAAGCCCGGAGCUCAACUCCGGAACUGCCAUUGAUACUGUUAGUCUUGAGUACAGUUGAGGUGGGCGGAAUGUGUCAUGUAGCGGUGAAAUGCUUAGAUAUGACACAGAGCACCGAUUGCGAAGGCAGCUCACUAAGCUGUAACUGACACUGAGGCACGAAAGCGUGGGGAGCAAACAGG